GCUAAAAAUCUAGCCCUACUCUCAUUUUAUACCUUUUAUUACCCAUUUAUCUUAACAAAAACAUUUAUGUACGUCUAGUAAAGGAGAUUAAAAAACAAAUUAGAGCUAUAGAAACCAGUACCGCAAGGAAAAGAUGAAAUAAAAAUGAAACAAAUUUUAAGCCCUAAAUAGCAGAGCUCCCCCCUCGUACCUUUUGCAUCAUGGUUUAACUAGUUAUAUCAAGCAAAAAGAACUGUAGUUUGACACCCCGAAACUAGACGAGCUACUUCGAGGCAGCUUAAUGAGCGAACCCGUCUCUGUUGCAAAAGAGUGGGAUGACCCCCAAGUAGCGGUGAUAGACCUAACGAGUCUAGUGAUAGCUGGUUGCUUAAAAAAAGGAUUUUAGUCCUGCUUAAAGCAUUUUUAAUUAUUUUAAAUUAUCUCUCUGCUUUAAAGUUAUUCAAUUAAGGUACAGCUUGUUUGAAAAAGGAUACAACCUAUACUAAUGGGUAAUAUUUAUUAACAUAAACAAGUGGGCCUAAAAGCAGCCAUCUUUAAAACAGCGUCAAAGCUUAUUUAUGUAAAAUUCUAAUUCCUCAAUUAUAUAAUAAACCCUUUAUUUCUAUUAAGCAACUCUAUAUAUGUAUAUAGAGGCCAUCCUGUUAAAACUAGUAAUAAGAAGAUAGCCCUUCUCUUAAAUGUAAGUAUAUUUCAGAAAGGACCCACCACUGAUAAUUAACGCCUAUGAACAUAAAACAGCAACUUUCCUAGAAAACCCUGUUUAACUAAACGUUAACCUAACACUAGAACAUUUAAAGAAAGAUUAAAAGAGAAAGAAGGAACUCGGCAAAUAUCAACCCCGCCUGUUUACCAAAAACAUCGCCUCUUGAACCCAUUAUAAGAGGUCCAGCCUGCCCAGUGACUAAGUUCAACGGCCGCGGUAUCCUAACCGUGCGAAGGUAGCGUAAUCACUUGUUCUUUAAAUGAGGACUAGUAUGAAUGGCACCACGAGGGUGGUACUGUCUCCUUUCUCUAAUCAAUGAAACUGAUCUCCCCGUGAAGAAGCGGGGAUGAAAAUAUAAGACGAGAAGACCCUAUGGAGCUUCAAAUCAUAAAGCACUGACUUACCAAUAGCAAAGUUUCAGAACAUUAAUGAUAACUUUAGUCAGAAUGUUUAUCGAUUUUAGGUUGGGGUGACCGCGGAGAAAAAAUUAUCCUCCACAUUGAAUGGAGCUACUCCUGAGCAAAAAGCUACAACUUUAAGCACCAACAAAUUGACAUUAAUUGACCCAAUAUAUUGAUCAACGAACCAAGUUACCCUAGGGAUAACAGCGCAAUCUACCUCAAGAGCCCCUAUCGACAGGUGGGUUUACGACCUCGAUGUUGGAUCAGGACAUCCUAGUGGUGCAGCCGCUACUAAAGGUUCGUUUGUUCAACGAUUAAAGCCCU
rnacentral:rRNA from 1 species